rnacentral:snRNA from 1 species
AUGCCUUAAACUUAUGAGUAAGGAAAAUAAUGAUUCUGGGUGACGCCCGAAUCCUCACUGCUAAUGGGAAACGGAUUUUUGAAUGGGUAAAGGCUGCUCCUAAGGUUGACCCGCCUACUUUGUGGGAUGCGUGGGAGUCGAUAUUUGCCUG